rnacentral:rRNA from 1 species
UACGGAGGACCCAAGCGUUACCCGGAAUUACUGGGCGUAAAGAGUUGCGUAGGCGGUUUGCCAAGUUUUUACUUAAAGAUCAGGGCCCAACCCUGGGAAUGGUAAAAAAACUGACAAACUAGAGGAAGGCAGAGGCGAGUGGAAUUUGUAGAGUAGGGGUGAAAUCCGUAGAUACUACAAGGAACACCAAUGGCGUAGGCAGCUCGCUGGGCCUUUCCUGACGCUGAGGCACGAAAGCGUGGGUAGCGAACCGG